GCGAAUUUAGCGAACCCACUUCGGUACAACGAACUCUCCCUGGCCUCAUCACCUGAGCUCCCGUCUCAAUCGGUGUCUCCCCCAGUGUCUCCCGCCGCCGCCACGGUAGAAGAAUGCGAGGAUCCUAGCCCUCACCCCGGCCGCCAAAAGGAUUCGUCUUGACGACCAGGGAAAUGGACAGAAACGGCCUCCAUGACCAACAAGGCCGAUCAGGGAGACCCGGUUUCACCACCGUCCCUCCACCUCCACCGUCCCCGGCUUCGCCAGGAAACUAUGGAUGCUGCUGGAGUGACCUGGUCAAAUCUGUCACAUGGAGCAUGAGCGGGAGGUGUGUUGCCGUUGACAAGGAGAUGUUCGUUUAGGACAUUCUGGAGAUGGCUGUACCACGUGUGUUCAUCACCCAGAGAAUGCAGAGUAUCUACCGCCAGCUCAACCUGUACGGUUGCCGUGAUCGAGAACAGCAUCUCGGGUGUCCCGUUAAGCACUGCUGGGUUGAACGGCACUCAGAGCGUAACCAAGGUAAUUAACACACACAUAUUUUUGGGAAGAGUAGAUUGUUGAUUUCAUAUUUAGCUACAGUGUAUAUGGCAAUGAAUAAUACUGUAUCAGAAUUCAUUUAAUCAUAAUUUAUUACCACCACCACUUCCACCAUGGGGGGCCCUGUCGUCCGGCCUCUGCCCAUGCUCGGUGAGGGUUCCCAGGCACACCUGCGGCCACCGAUGGCCUCCCCUUGGAUGUCUCUCUCCAACCCACUCUACAGAGAGUCUUAAAUGACUUCUCACAACUGUGCCAACACAGCCUCCUCCUCUUCCUCCUCCUUCGCUCCAGUCUUCCCUCCACCCCUGCCCUGCGCUAACUGCGGCUACAUCCAGGGCCCUACAGCCCCCACUACCUCACGGCUGCCCCAAAGAGGACAGACUAGGCCGGAGAUACUCUACUACCUCCAUCCCCUAUAUACACCCACAAAGCGAUAUCUAAAUUGACCAAAAACGGUACCCUGCAUUUUAUGUGGCUUUUUCUCUGUUAAUCUGUUGUUUUCUCUGUUAAUCAGUUGUUUUCUUUGUUAAUCAGCUGUUUUCUCUGUUAAUCAGCUGUUUUCUCUGUUAAUCAGCUGUUUUCUCUGUUAAUCAGUUUUUUUCUAUGCGAAUCAGUUUUUUCUCUGUUAAUCCAUACAUUAUUCACAUCUACCAGCUGCAAUAUUAUGUUUACAUUCCAAAUAGCACUCUAUUCUCUAUAUAGUACACUUCUUUUGACCAGAGACCUUUAGACCCUUCUCAAAAUUAUGAGUGCCAGUUGGGACACAUCUAUGUGUGCAUUCAAAAAGCCAGCUUUAUUCAGAAUUAUACUUCCUUCCUUUGCCAACAGGUGGCAGCAGAGUCAUAUCAUUCCAUUACAACAGCUAUGCUUAUAGGAGUGUUUACUUUUUGUGAUGUAACCCCAUAAUGAGGUUAGGGGUUCUUCCCAAAUGGCACCCUACUCCCUAAAUAGUGCACUACUUCUAACCAGAAACCAUAGGGCUCUUGUCAAAGGUAGUGCACUAUAUAGAGAAGGUUCUGACAUAUGUAAUAUUACUGCUACAGUAUAUGGGUGGGGCUUACUAUGUGGUUGUCUGGAUCUGUAGCCAGUGGGUGGGGCUUACUAUGUGGUUGUCUGGAUCUGUAGCCAGUGGGUGGGGCUUACUAUGUGGUUGUCUGGAUCUGUAGCCAGUGGGUGGGGCUUACUAUGUGGUUGUCUGGAUCUGUAGCCAGUGGCUUGUUAUAGGCUACCCAGAUAUUAACAUUUCAUACAGUAAGUACACUGUAGCCCCCAGGCAUAGCAAUACUAGCAUAGGAAUCCUGCAUGUACGAUGUAAUAACCUAAUAAUGAAUAUUAUAUAUAGAAUUAAAGUCAAUUAUGUAAUGAUAACUUUUAUGCAUUGCAUUUUACAGGGCUACACACACACACACACACACACACACACACAAAAACAGCUCUAACAGCGCUAAUGUUGAAACCCACAGGUACACAAACAGCCUCUCUUUCUCUCUUUCUGUCUUUCUGUCUUUCUGUCUCUCUCUCUCUCUCUC